ACUAAGGGAUGCUUAGUACGGCGAGUGAAGCGGCAAAAGCUCAAAUUUGAAAUCUGGUACCUUCGGUGCCCGAGUUGUAAUUUGGAGAGGGCAACUUUGGGGCCGUUCCUUGUCUAUGUUCCUUGGAACAGGACGUCAUAGAGGGUGAGAAUCCCGUGUGGCGAGGAGUGCGGUUCUUUGUAAAGUGCCUUCGAAGAGUCGAGUUGUUUGGGAAUGCAGCUCUAAGUGGGUGGUAAAUUCCAUCUAAAGCUAAAUAUUGGCGAGAGACCGAUAGCGAACAAGUACAGUGAUGGAAAGAUGAAAAGAACUUUGAAAAGAGAGUGAAAAAGUACGUGAAAUUGUUGAAAGGGAAGGGCAUUUGAUCAGACAUGGUGUUUUGUGCCCUCUGCUCCUUGUGGGUAGGGGAAUCUCGCAUUUCACUGGGCCAGCAUCAGUUUUGGUGGCAGGAUAAAUCCAUAGGAAUGUAGCUUGCCUCGGUAAGUAUUAUAGCCUGUGGGAAUACUGCCAGCUGGGACUGAGGACUGCGACGUAAGUCAAGGAUGCUGGCAUAAUGGUUAUAUGCCGCCCGUCUUGAACCACCCGAAACCA
rnacentral:rRNA from 1 species